CUGCUUCAAAAGUGGAUACGGUGGCCAGAUAAUUUGGACCCUGUGGAUGAGAGCAAUAUCCUUGAGCUAUGGAGCAGCAAAAGAAAAUAAGCCUGGGUCUCCAGAGAAUCUAACAGGCAAAGCCAGCCCUACCAGCCCCAGACCCUCUAUCUCUGGACUACAUAAAAUCUAUGCUCUUCACCUGCCUCCUGCUUCUCCAUUGUUUUAUCCUCAAAGAACUCCACUCUGCUUGGAAGAAGCCUGAUGGAUCCGACUCUUCCAGAAUGUAUCAAGCUUUGGCCCUGUGUAGACCUCUGAAUAGCAAGAUCUGUUGAUGGAGUCUCACUCUGUCGCCAGGCUGGAAUGCAAUGGCGCAAUCUCGGCUCACUGCAACAUCCAACUUCCUGGUUCAAGGGACUCUCCUGCCUCAGCCUCCCAGGUAGCUAGGAUUAGGAUUACAGGCACGUGCCACCACGCCCAGCUAACUUUUGUGUUUUUAGUAGAGAUGGGGUUUCACCAUGUCAGCCAGGAUGCUCUCGAUCUCCUGACCUUGUGAUCCACCUGCCUCGGCCUCCCAAAGCACUGGGAUUACAGGCGUGAGCCACAGCGCCCAGCAACUUCUUAGUUUUAUAAUGCUCAAUAGGCAUGGACAGCCAGGAAUUACCCUCCUCUGAAAAAAGUGUUUAAUAUAAAAGAAGGAAUAGAAAUAAAUAAACAGAAACAGGAACUCAGAGGACACAAAGAUCAUGCAGGGAAACGGAAUAAACUUUUUUUAAAGUUAUAAUUAAGAGUUCCAAUUCUAGGAAGAUGGAAGACAUACUUUUUCCUAUUCUUCCUGCUAAGUACAACUAAAAGCCCUGGACAUCAUUCAUGUUAAAUUCCAGGUCUGAUCAUUCCAAAAUCUCUGCUAUAUUUGAGUCUGGUUCUGAUGCUUACUGUGCCUUCAAACUCUUUGGGGCACAGAGAAAGGGAGUUUGGUUUGUGGGCUUUGGCUUUUUGUCUUUUGGGUUUUUGUGUUUUUUGUUGUUUUUUUUUAUCUUUUGUAUGCCUUGCAACUUUUUGUUGAAAGCCAGAUGUGAUGUACUAGAUAAAAGAACUGAAGUAAAUAGA